CCUUCCUUACUGUCACACAUUUCUCAUUCUUCUUCCUCCUCAAGUGAAUAAAAGGAGAAGGUCAAGCUCAAUUUCUUAAUCUCUCGUAUAGAGAUCAUUAAAGAUAGAAAAGAUGAGAGAGGAAAAGAAGAAAAUGAGAAGAGCGAAUGAGCAGAGGGAACAAAGAAAGAGAAAGAAGAACUUGUACGAAGAAAGGAGAAGGUAAGAGUCUUAUUCCAAGAGGAAGUGCUACUGAAGGCAUCUUUCCCUCCCACAAUUCUAAUAGCUCCAAGUGACUUAAGGCGAGAUUCUCA
rnacentral:lncRNA from 1 species